UGGGGAAUAUUGCACAAUGGGGGGAACCCUGAUGCAGCCAUGCCGCGUGAAUGAAGAAGGCCUUCGGGUUGUAAAGUUCUUUCGGUGACGAGGAAGGUUGGUAGGUUAAUAGCCUAUCAAAUUGACGUUAAUCACAGAAGAAGCACCGGCUAACUCCGUGCCAGCAGCCGCGGUAAUACGGGGGGUGCGAGCGUUAAUCGGAAUAACUGGGCGUAAAGGGCACGCAGGCGGUGACUUAAGUGAGAUGUGAAAGCCCCGAGCUUAACUUGGGAAUUGCAUUUCAUACUGGGUCGCUAGAGUACUUUAGGGAGGGGUAGAAUUCCACGUGUAGCGGUGAAAUGCGUAGAGAUGUGGAGGAAUACCGAAGGCGAAGGCAGCCCCUUGGGAAUGUACUGACGCUCAUGUGCGAAAGCGUGGGGAGCAAACAGGAUUAGAUACCCUGGUAGUCCACGCUGUAAACGAUGUCGAUUUGGGGAUUGGGCUUUGAGCUUGGUGCCCGUAGCUAACGUGAUAAAUCGACCGCCUGGGGAGUACGGCCGCAAGGUUA
rnacentral:rRNA from 1 species